rnacentral:rRNA from 1 species
UACGUAGGGUGCAAGCGUUGUCCGGAAUUAUUGGGCGUAAAGAGCUCGUAGACGGUUUGUCACGUCGGAUGUGAAAACCCGAGGCUUAACCUCGGGCCUGCAUUCGAUACGGGCUGACUAGAGUUCGGUAGGGGAGACUGGAAUUCCUGGUGUAGCGGUGAAAUGCGUAGAUAUCAGGAGGAACACCGGUGGCGAAGGCGGGUCUCUGGGCCGAUACUGACGCUGAGGAGCGAAAGCGUGGGGAGCGAACAGG